rnacentral:rRNA from 1 species
UACGAAGGGGGCUAGCGUUGCUCGGAAUCACUGGGCGUAAAGGGCGCGUAGGCGGAUCUUUAAGUCGGGGGUGAAAUCCCACGGCUCAACCGAUGGAACUGCCGGGCAUACUGGCGAUCUUGAGGCAUUCAGGGGCGAGCGGAACAAAUGGUGGAGCGGUGAAAUGCGUAGAUAUCAUUUGGAACGCCAAUGGUGAAAACAGCUCGCUGGGAAUGAUCUGACACUGAGACGCGAAAGCCAGGGGAGGCGAAACGGG